rnacentral:rRNA from 1 species
CCUACGGGCGGCAGCAGUGGGGAAUAUUGCACAAUGGGCGCAAGCCUGAUGCAGCCAUGCCGCGUGUGUGAAGAAGGCCUUCGGGUUGUAAAGCACUUUCAGCGGGGAGGAAGGCGGUGAGGUUAAUAACCUCAUCGAUUGACGUUACCCGCAGAAGAAGCACCGGCUAACUCCGUGCCAGCAGCCGCGGUAAUACGGAGGGUGCAAGCGUUAAUCGGAAUUACUGGGCGUAAAGCGCACGCAGGCGGUCUGUCAAGUCGGAUGUGAAAUCCCCGGGCUCAACCUGGGAACUGCAUUCGAAGCUGGCAGGCUAGAGUCUUGUAGAGGGGGGUAGAAUUCCAGGUGUAGCGGUGAAAUGCGUAGAGAUCUGGAGGAAUACCGGUGGCGAAGGCGGCCCCCUGGACAAAGACUGACGCUCAGGUGCGAAAGCGUGGGGAGCAAACAGGAUUAGAUACCCUAGUAGUC